UCCGGUUUAUCACCGGCAGUUUCCUUAUAGUCCCCGGCCGAACCGCUGGCAAAUAAGGAUGAGGGUUGCGCUCGUUGCGGGACUUAACCCAACAUCUCACGACACGAGCUGACGACAGCCAUGCAACACCUGUGUGUGAUCCAGCCGAACUGACGCCUAAAUCUCUCUAGGCUACGACCACCAUGUCAAGGGUUGGUAAGGUUUUUCGCGUAGCAUCGAAUUAAACCGCAUGCUCCACCACUUGUGCGAGCCCCCGUCAAUUCCUUUGAGUUUUAAUCUUGCGAUCGUACUCCCCAGGCGGAGUGCUUAAUGCGUUAGCUGCGAAACCGAAAGAAAUUCUCCCGAUAUCUAGCACUCAUCGUUUACAGCGUGGACUAC
rnacentral:misc_RNA from 1 species